rnacentral:sRNA from 1 species
GCUGGUGGCGCGGUGCAGGGCUCUUAAGAACGAACGGCUUGGGCGCGGACUGGUAUCCGGGGACUGUGACUUGCAGGGUCCGCCAUGGAGCCAGAGCAGAUGCUGGAGGGACAAACGCAGGUUGCAGAAAAUCCUCACUCUGAGUACGGUCUCACAGACAACGUUGAGAGAAUAGUAGAAAAUGAGAAGAUUAAUGCAGAAAAGUCAUCAAAGCAGAAGGUAGAUCUCCAGUCUUUGCCAACUCGUGCCUACCUGGAUCAGACAGUUGUGCCUAUCUUAUUACAGGGACUUGCUGUGCUUGCAAAGGAAAGAUGAGGAAACAGACUUGGAGAGGUUAAGUGACAUGCUCAAGACAACAGUGCUGACGGGGUUUCACCGUGUUGCCCAGGCUGGUUGCGAACUCCUGAGCUCAGGCAAUCUGUCCGCCUCGGCCUCCCAACGUGCUAGGAUUACAGGCGUGAGCCACCGCGCCCGGCCAAUUUUUUUUUUUUUUUUAAGAGGUGAGGUCUCACUAUGUUGCCCAG